rnacentral:rRNA from 1 species
CAGCAGCAGCCGCGGGAAUACGUAGGUCCCGAGCGUUGUCCGGAUUUAUUGGGCGUAAAGCGAGCGCAGGCGGUUAGAUAAGUCUGAAGUUAAAGGCUGUGGCUUAACCAUAGUACGCUUUGGAAACUGUUUAACUUGAGUGCAAGAGGGGAGAGUGGAAUUCCAUGUGUAGCGGUGAAAUGCGUAGAUAUAUGGAGGAACACCGGUGGCGAAAGCGGCUCUCUGGCUUGUAACUGACGCUGAGGCUCGAAAGCGUGGGGAGCAAACAGGAUUAGAGACCCGCGUAGUCCCUGUCUCUUAUACA